GACGAACGCUGGCGGCAUGCCUAACACAUGCAAGUCGAACGGAACCUCCCGGCCUUGUUGAGCUCGUGUGCGUACCACCUGGGAACUAGCCCGUAGGUUCGGUGUCAUUCCCCGUAGGGGGUGCUCAUACCAGUUAAUCUCUUCGGGCAUAAGAUGUCUCGCUUUUGGAUGGGCGCGCGUUAGUUUCGCUAGUUGGUAGGGUAAAAGCCUACCAAGGCGACGAUCCAUAGCUGGUCGGUUAGGAGGACCAGCCACACUGGGACUGAGACACGGCCUAGACUCGUAGGGGAGGGAGCAGUGGGGAAUAUUGGAGGAGGGGCGAAAGCCUGAUACAGCCAUGCCGGGUGAGUGGUGAAGGCCUUAGGGUUGUAAAGCUCUUUGAGCCGAGAUGAUAAUGACAGUACCGGGAGAAGAAGCUCCGGCUAACUCCGUG
rnacentral:rRNA from 1 species